CUCCGCCGCCGUGGAGCGCGCGCCGCACACUGCCGUACUGCCCCGUCGUCGUAAACCUUCGUUAGCGAUAUUAAACGUCUCGCGGCCGUAUUUAAAGCUGACGGGGUGCAUUGUACCCUGCUGCUGCUGUUGCUGCUCCGGCUCGCCUUGCACUCUGCAUCGGCUGCGGUGCAAGCGGUGAGUGUUGGCUGAUUUCUCGGAAGCCGCCGCCGCUGUCCGACGACGCCGCGCUGGGGCUGGGGUACUGGCUGCGCGCUGCGGUGAUACACAACCAUGGGAGCAGUCAAGAGCAAGCGGUCGGUGGACAUCUCGACGAAGGACGGGGAGCCCGCCAACGCGGCCAACGUGAAGGCGGCCCUCGAUGGCAAGCUUGAGCGCAUCGAGGAGGGCGACCUCAAGGCCAAGGUGGCCAACGGGCACGCCGACGGCAAUAAGGU